GUGAAAUUCCGUCGGAAUCUGGGAGGACCAUCUCCUAAGGCUAAAUACUCUCUAGUGACCGAUAGUGAACCAGUACCGUGAGGGAAAGGUGAAAAGCACCCCGGAAGGGGAGUGAAAUAGAACCUGAAACCGUGUGCUUACAAGUAGUCAGAGCCCGUUAAUGGGUGAUGGCGUGCCUUUUGUAGAAUGAACCGGCGAGUUACGAUUUGAUGCAAGGUUAAGCAGUAAAUGUGGAGCCGUAGCGAAAGCGAGUCUGAAUAGGGCGUUUAGUAUUUGGUCGUAGACCCGAAACCAGGUGAUCUACCCUUGGUCAGGUUGAAGUUCAGGUAACACUGAAUGGAGGACCGAACCGACUUACGUUGAAAAGUGAGCGGAUGAACUGAGGGUAGCGGAGAAAUUCCAAUCGAACCUGGAGAUAGCUGGUUCUCUCCGAAAUAGCUUUAGGGCUAGCCUCAAGUGAUGAUUAUUGGAGGUAGAGCACUGUUUGGACGAGGGGCCCCUCUCGGGUUACCGAAUUCAGACAAACUCCGAAUGCCAAUUAAUUUAACUUGGGAGUCAGAACAUGGGUGAUAAGGUCCGUGUUCGAAAGGGAAACAGCCCAGACCACCAGCUAAGGUCCCAAAAUAUAUGUUAAGUGGAAAAGGAUGUGGCGUUGCCCAGACAACUAGGAUGUUGGCUUAGAAGCAGCCAUCAUUUAAAGAGUGCGUAAUAGCUCACUAGUCGAGUGACACUGCGCCGAAAAUGUACCGGGGCUAAACAUAUUACCGAAGCUGUGGAUUGUCCUUUGGACAAUGGUAGGAGAGCGUUCUAAGGGCGUUGAAGCAUGAUCGCAAGGACAUGUGGAGCGCUUAGAAGUGAGAAUGCCGGUGUGAGUAGCGAAAGACGGGUGAGAAUCCCGUCCACCGAUUGACUAAGGUUUCCAGAGGAAGGCUCGUCCGCUCUGGGUUAGUCGGGUCCUAAGCUGAGGCCGACAGGCGUAGGCGAUGGAUAACAGGUUGAUAUUCCUGUACCACCUAUAAUCGUUUUAAUCGAUGGGGGGACGCAGUAGGAUAGGCGAAGCGUGCGAUUGGAUUGCACGUCUAAGCAGUAAGGCUGAGUAUUAGGCAAAUCCGGUACUCGUUAAGGCUGAGCUGUGAUGGGGAGAAGACAUUGUGUCUUCGAGUCGUUGAUUUCACACUGCCGAGAAAAGCCUCUAGAUAGAAAAUAGGUGCCCGUACCGCAAACCGACACAGGUAGUCAAGAUGAGAAUUCUAAGGUGAGCGAGCGAACUCUCGUUAAGGAACUCGGCAAAAUGACCCCGUAACUUCGGGAGAAGGGGUGCUCUUUAGGGUUAACGCCCAGAAGAGCCGCAGUGAAUAGGCCCAAGCGACUGUUUAUCAAAAACACAGGUCUCUGCUAAACCGUAAGGUGAUGUAUAGGGGCUGACGCCUGCCCGGUGCUGGAAGGUUAAGAGGAGUGGUUAGCUUCUGCGAAGCUACGAAUCGAAGCCCCAGUAAACGGCGGCCGUAACUAUAACGGUCCUAAGGUAGCGAAAUUCCUUGUCGGGUAAGUUCCGACCCGCACGAAAGGCGUAACGAUUUGGGCACUGUCUCAACGAGAGACUCGGUGAAAUCAUAGUACCUGUGAAGAUGCAGGUUACCCGCGACAGGACGGAAAGACCCCGUGGAGCUUUACUGUAGCCUGAUAUUGAAAUUCGGCACAGCUUGUACAGGAUAGGUA
rnacentral:rRNA from 1 species